rnacentral:rRNA from 1 species
CGGUGUGAUUCAUGACUGGGGUGAAGUCGUAACAAGGUAGCCGUAGGGGAACCUGCGGCUGGAUCACCUCCUUAAUCGAAGAU